CCCAACUCCUCCUCUCCCUCCCCUCCACACCUUUAGACCGUACCCAUGGGUGUUCCUCAUUUUAUGGGGACUCACCCCACCUUCAGCAUGCCUGGGGCACCAGGAGCUCCCAUGAUGCCCAUGGUGAGGCCAGGCUUCCCUGCCACUGGAGCAACUCCCGGAACACCGAUGUCUCCCGGAGCGGCCCAGAGCCCCAGAAAGCCUGCACCACCGAGGAACGCUCUGGAUGACCUCAACAUUAAGGACUUCAUGUAGACUGGCUGACCUGUAAAAACCCCCAAGGUAUAUAAGAAGUGGCAACUUAAAGAAUCAAUAUGUAUUAUUUUUGCUUGUCAUGGCAAAUGUUAUGGAGCAGAAUCCUCUGUUGUACCAAACAUUAGCCACAUGUGAGACAUGUUUAAUCCUGCAGUCUUGGCAAGAUAACAGGGUUAAUGCACCCUGAAUGUGAAAAUCUGAAAUGUCACAAGGUGAUUAAAGGAAGUGAUGUUUACUUUCAGCUCUUUAGGCCUUUGAAAAUACUAGAAAAUGAAACAAUCUCAGAAGGAAAAAUUACUUUUUAGAUUUGCUCACAACCCAUGUCUGCACUAAAGACAUAAUCUAAUCUGAAUGACAAAUAGACAUCUUGUUUUAAAGGGGAACACAGUUGUAUAAUGUAUUCUGCUGCUCUGGGAGCUUUGUCAGGUCUGAGAGGAUAACCUGAGAUCAUAGUGCUGUCGUCAGGAUUAUCUCGGCUUGGCCUUGGAGACUACAAAUCUAUAACAGUUUGUCAGUGUGUCUGGAGCUCUGUGGAUGUGGAUGUCUGCACUUCCCCCACCGCCUUCCCCUCAGUCAUGCCCCAGCCCCUUCAGCCAACCAGCCAUUACAUCCACGAUCUUUGCCCUCUGACCUCCUACCAGCCGCCAACCCUAAAAAAAGCCCUGUCCUCCUUAUCUAAUGUUGUAGCACAACUGUGAAUGUGAACCCUAGAUACAGAAAAACAAAACUCAGUUUAUGUGUGUGUGGGUGUGUGUGUAAUUCAGUGUUAUCCUUUACUUAAUAUACUAUGGAAAAUGAACAAAAAAAAUAAAUAAAUGUGUAUUCAGAUUCAUUCUGGAUUUCCAUGUAUCAGCUGACUUGGAAUGGUGGAUAAACGUUGGUUUCUUGACGCAUCUCCCAGACGAGGACUGUGUUGUUAAAUGUGGAUUGUGUUCGGUGUGUGUAACUUCACUGGCCAACCCCCACCCCCACCCCUCUGCCCCUGUUGUCCAAACUAAUACUGAGCUAUGUUUAUGUCAUUAAAAAAACUUGGUUGUACCUAUAUCUGCUUGGCCAUCCAUCCUCCCACCUGUCUACUUUCAAGUUUUUGGAGAACAAAUGCACCUGGUAACAACUUGCACUGCAAAUCUGGACUUAUCAUCAAACAUUAAAUUGUGUUCAGUUUAAUUUGUUUUUUUAGGGAUUGUA